GGCUGGUCUGAAGGUAGUGAGUUAUCUCACUUAAUAGCUCACAGUCAGUUACAGAUCGAACUCCUUGUUCUACUUUCCCCCCCACCCUUCUCAUUACUGCACUUGACUAGUCUUUA
rnacentral:Y_RNA from 1 species